AAGAUGGACACUUCUCAGGUCUAGUUGUUGCAUGGUGUGUUCCUGACCACAGCUGUGCCCAAGGAGUCUCACAGAUUCCUCAGGAGGCAACAGGACGUUUAUCAACGAAGAUGUGAGAAACCCAUGCCGGGCCUUUGACGCUCAUCCUGACUCCUGAUUGAUGAAUUAUUUGGUCGACUGAGGCAGAAUCACCUUUACUGGAGCAUAAUCUGUUGGAGGCAGCAUCUCCUGAAGUCUCCAUGAGUUGCUGGAAUGAAGAUGCAAGAGGAAAUUUGGAGAUGUUGCUUGAAAGUUUAAGUAUUGGUGUUACCAAACCAUUAGAAUAUUACAUAUGGACAACACCCAUCCAUUAGAAUAUUACGUAUGGACAACAUGGUGGAACAUUUCGAAUAAGGUUUGUCCCACAAAAUCCAAUAUAAAUGUUUGCUUUUGUCCUUUUUAAUGAUAUUGCAUUUGAAUUAUACUGAGUACAUUAUGACAUAUGAAGCUCUCAGACUGUAGGAUGGGAACAGCCAGACUUUAUGCAGUGCAG
ensembl:lincRNA